UACGUAGGGUGCAAGCGUUGUCCGGAAUUAUUGGGCGUAAAGAGCUUGUAGGCGGUUUGUCGCGUCUGCUGUGAAAUUUCGGGGCUCAACCCCGAACUUGCAGUGGGUACGGGCAGACUAGAGUGUGGUAGGGGAGACUGGAAUUCCUGGUGUAGCGGUGAAAUGCGCAGAUAUCAGGAGGAACACCGAUGGCGAAGGCAGGUCUCUGGGCCAUAACUGACGCUGAGACCCGAAAGCAUGGGGAUCAAACAGG
rnacentral:rRNA from 1 species